CCCGUCACCUCCCCCUCCCCCCAGCUCCUCGCCUUCGGCUCUCGCAUCCACAAACUCAACGCUCCGCUCCUCGCCUCUAAGCUCGCCAAGCUCCUCAUGAUCUCCUCCUCUCGCUCUCUGCCCGUCACCAAGAUCGCAUCCGCCAAGCGCAACUUCGGCCUCCUGGACGACUUCCUGGUCUCGUUGGUCCCGAGGUACCCCCACUUCUUCUGCCUCGUCGGCGACCCCGGGCCCGACGGGUCCGGGAACGUGUUCCUCGAUCUGGUAUCUUGGGAUGUGUCUCCGUUUGGGUUCUUCAGGACUCUUCACCCUUCUCUCCUUUUAGAUUUUUGUUCAAAGAUUAGGUUGGAAUUUGUAUUUAGAUUAGGUUCAAAGAUUAGGUUGAAACUUGGAACGAAGAAGAGCUGCUGCAGAUUUGAUGAUAAUGAUAGUUCACGAAACCAAGAUAUGUUUCAUGAAUCAAGAUAGGCCAGGUAGCUAAAGACAUGAAUGCAUGCUCAACAAUUUUCUUUCCUUUUGUUUUGCAACUGUUUACAGGAAUAUUAUGAUCUAAACCGUUCAAUGCUGGAGUUAGUCUUUGCUCCUGCAGAGGAAUGGGUUGGACGAAGUGAAACUGAAAUCACCGAGAGGAAGAAAUGAGCAACAAAGAAGAAGGGACAGCAGCAGCAGCACCGUCUCAUUAGCAUCUCAAGCACUUUAUUUCACUCAGGUUUGUACCAAAAAUCAAGUUUUAUUUAUUUAUCAAACAAAUUAUAAAGCAUUGCACGAAAUGAAAAUUGACAUGUGAUAAGUCAUACAAUUGGAUCCGAGACAAUUCAAAUAGAACAGAUUGGUUAUUGGAAUUCUGAAUUAGACAAAAAUCUGUAAAGCUAUAAGCAUUGAAAAAUAAUGUAUGGAUACUCGUUAAGGCUUAAGCGGAUAGUUUGCGUUCCAUGUAAUUGAUGUCCUAUUUUUGAGAUAUAUUGUUUCAAUUUUUCUUCAAAAACAGGAAAAUGCAAUAAUGAGUAGCUGAUUAGAUAGCAUAUUAGCUCUGUAGCAAGGCACUUCAUCAUAAAAUACAAUUUUCAUGUGGCGACACAGAAUUAAAUUGUUGAGUAUAUAGCAAGACAGAGAGUUAAUGCGCAUGACAUACUGUGCUGUCACUGAGAAUAAAUCGCAUGUAGCGAGUGCCGAAGUUGUCUUGCUGCAUGUGUGAUUUGGACAUCACCAGAGCACACACCUUCCAACAAGUCUGAAAGAUGUGCUCCAUCUGAACCUAAUGGAGCUCCAAUGACCUGCGUGGCAAGCAAAACAAACAACUACCGAAAAUAAAAAGAGCAAGAAAUUCUGGCUUGCCUAUUUGACAAGAAUGUGCUUGUUUCAAGCUGAUCAAGUUCAUGCUGAACGGAUGGUGUGAUUUGCACCCUCUUGGAGGAUUGUGGACGAUAAGUGAUCCCCAUCACAAGGCAAAGUAAAUUGUUGCACCAGAUUGGCCAAUGCACAAAAAGUUGGGCCGACGGAGUACGAGCUGCUUCACAGCAUCAUGAUGAACUGGAAAUUAACAAUGCCCUUGAAAAAAUAUUAGAAAGCUGAAUUGCUCCAAUAGCCUAGUAUCAGUCUUUAGAUUAUCGAAACUUGGUAGGGUAGACAUAGUUUGUCAGAAAUCGUGUAUGAAGAAAUCAGAGCAAAAGUAACAAUAGAAUAUUACAAACACCAAUUGGUAUAACAGAAUUACUUGGCUAGGCAUUAGACAAAAAUUCACAUGUACAUCUAUGAAAUUACUUGGUGCAAAUCUUAGUUGAGUUUAGUGAUUAAACUUAUGAUUUCAGACAUUCCAGAAGAAAAUGAAAUCCCUUUCGGAAAAUCAGUGGAGUAUUCUGGAUUAAUCUUGACGAUCUCAUCAGUUACUUUGUGGAUGAGCAGAUUAACUUCUUGCAGUUGCGGGGUUAAAGGAAGUUCCAAUGAGAGUGGAACAAAGCUUAGACCAUCCUUAUUAGGAUAUAUGGGUAAUGCUCCUCUCUGUAAGCAAGGUGUUAAAAAACAAUGAUGAUCUAGGAGAGAUCCAAGACUUAGUGGUUAAUACUUAAUAUUCAGUAACACUUGGUCAGAAGCUUGCCUUUGCAAAGUCUUCCUUGCGGAUCAGAAAAAAUUAUUCUCUUACAUACU